CCCGUAUCCGUUCUUGCUGGGAUUCCAUCUUCUGGUUUUUCUCUGUUAUGUCCUUAAUAACCUGAUCGAGAGUAGUUUUCUGCAUUGCUUGCUGGUCUUCCGGCGUUCUCACCUCUUCCUGCUCUUUGCUCAUCUUGCUGACAGCAAUCCUUUGUUUUUCUUGCUGCUUCUCCAGGUCCCGUAUCCGUUCUUGCUGGGAUUCCAUCUUCUGGUUUUUCUCUGUUAUGUCCUUAAUAACCUGAUCGAGAGUAGUUUUCUGCAUUGCUUGCUGGUCUUCCGGCGUUCUCACCUCUUCCUGCUCUUUGCUCAUCUUGCUGACAGCAAUCCUUUGUUUUUCUUGCUGCUUCUCCAGGUCCCGUAUCCGUUCUUGCUGGGAU